rnacentral:rRNA from 1 species
CUUGGUAGGGUGCAAUGUGGUGUUUGGGAGGCGUCACUCGCGCCGGGAGCUCUGGUGUCCAAGUCCCCCUGACUGGGGCCAUCGCCCGUAGAGGGUGCAAGGCCUGUUGGGCAGGGCUGAACCUACUGAUCCCGGCGCGUGAGAUGUCCUCCUUGGAGUCGGGUUGCUUGAGAAUGCAGCCCAAAGUGGGUGGUAAACUCCACCUAAGGCUAAAUACUUGCCACGAGACCGAUAGCAAACAAGUACCGUGAGGGAAAGUUGCAAAGAACUUUGAAGAGAGAGUUCAAGAGUGCGUGAAACCGUCUGGAGGUAAACGGGUGGGAGCGCGAAGGUCGAACGGAUGGGGAGGGAUUCAACUCGGCGAGGUGGUCUACCGGGUGCUGCCGCGUCUGGGCGUUCCGUGGCGCCUUCCCUUUCGGGGGAAGCGCGUCUUCGGUCGUCCCGCGCAGCCGCCCGUUGUGAGAUCCGCCCUGCCUUGUGCAUUUCCCUGUUCCCCCUCUCCUAGUAGGACGCCGCGACCGGCUGUCGAUGGCAGCACAGGAGCCAAGGUUAGGGGAGCUGCGCGGGCGAGUGUGGGAUUCGUUCCCUGCGUCUGGUCUGUCUGCCUCUUUCCGAACGGUUGUUGCUGCUGCCUCCGGCCGAGGAACUGUGCGGCGAGCUGGGCCCUCGUGGUCCCUCGUCCACUAACGCGCCCUAGAUUGUGCGGUGCGGGUCGACAAAACCCCACGGGUGGCGGAGGGUGUCUCCGUGCCGGUCCCAGUGGCCGCGCGCGGAGACUCCGUUCGUCAGCCACCGUCGGUCAAGGUGCAGACUCCCGCAAGGUGGCGCUUGGGGUCAGCGGCGAGUAGGUCGGUUUCCCACCCGACCCGUCUUGAAACACGGACCAAGAAGUCUAACGUAUGGGCGAGUCUUCGGGGCCUAACGAACCCUUAGAAGGCGGAAUUAAAGUGAAGGUUCCGACCUCGCCUUAACGGGCUGACGGUCGUGAGCUGUGGUGUGAUCCCCCGUCUCUUGGCGGGGGCGCAACACCGGCC